rnacentral:rRNA from 1 species
AUGAAACGCUGGCGGGCGGUGCUUAACACAUGCAAGUCGAACGGGACUGUGGGGGCAACUCUGCAGGUUUAGUGGCGGACGGGUGAGUAACAACGUGGGGUAACCUGCCCGGGAAGUGGGGAAUACCUCGGGGAAGCUCGAGCUAAUACCGCAUGACAUCUUCGGGACGAAAGUUUCUGACGAUUCAAAGCAGGGGGUCCGCAAGAUCUCGCGCUAACCGGAUGGGCCCCGCGGCCCGAUUAGCUAGUUUGGUGGGGGGGUAACGGCUCACCAAGGCUUCGAUCGGUAACCGGCCUGAGAGGGCGAUCGGUCACACCGGAAACUGAGACACGGUCCGGACUCCUACGGGAGGCAGCAGUGGGGAAUCUUGCGCAAUGGGCGAAAGCCUGACGCAGCAACGCCGCGUGGAGGAUGAAGGCCCUUGGGUCGUAAACUCCUGUUCGGCUGGGGAAGAAGGUCGUGCCGGUGCUAAUACCCACCGUGCGUUGACUGUACCAGCAAAGGAAGCCCCGGCUAACUCUUGUGCCAGCAGCCGCCGGUAAUACAGAGGGGGCCAGCGUUUAUUCGGAAUUAUUGGGCGUAAAGGGGCGCGUAGGGCGCGGCCAUUGCGUGUUCUCCCGUGAAAUCCCUCGGCUUAACUGAGGACGUGCGGGAGAAACUGCAAGGCCUCGAGGUCCGGGAAGAGGGGGGUGGAAUUCCCAGUGUAGCGGUGAAAUGCGUAGAUAUUGGGAGGAACACCGGUGGCGAAGGCGGCCCCCCUGGACCGGUAACUGACGCGUGAGGCGCGGAAAAGCGUGGGUAGGCAAACGGGAUUAGAUACCCCGGUAGUCCACGCCGUAAACGAUGGGCACUUGGUGUCGCGGGUAUCGACCCCUGCGGUGCCGAAGCUAAACGCAUUAAGUGCCCCGCCUGGGGAGUACGGUCGCAAGGCUGAAACUACUCAAAGGAAUUGACGGGGGACCCGCACAAGCGGUGGAGCAUGUGGUUUUAAUUCGACGCAACCGCGAAGAACCUUACCUGGGCUAGAAUGCGGCGGCGGAUAAGCGCCGGAAGACGGCGCGAUCCGGGUAACCGGCUCCCUGCCUGCAAGGUGCUUGCAUGGCUUGUCGUCAGCUCGUGUCGUGAGAUGUUGGGUUAAGUCCCGCAAACGAGCGCAACCCUUACCGUGAGUUACCAUCAUUCAGUUGGGGACUCUCGCGGAACUGGCCGGUGAUAAACCGGAGGAAGGUUGGGGAUGACGUCAAGUCCUCAUGGCCUUUAUGUCCCAGGGCUACACACGUGCUACAAUGGCCGGUUACAAACCGUCGCGAAGUCGCGAGGAACGGAGCCAAUCGGGAAAAAAAACCGGUCUCAGUUCGGAUUGCAGUCUGCAAACUCGACCCCCGUGAAGUUGGAUUCGCUAGUAAUCGCAGAUCAGCAAUGCUGCGGUGAAUACGUUCCCGGGCCUUGUACACAACCGCCCGUCAAGCCAUGGAAGCUGGGGGUGGCCUUGAAGGCCGGUAACCGUAAGGAGCCGUCUAGGGGUAAAAACCGGUAACUGGGGCU